AGAUGAAUUGUUUAACAAAUGUAUUUCAAAUAUUGCUAAUAGCUUUUUGCUAAGAAAAAUAAACUCGUGUAAGCUUUAACAUUUCCCGAUUCAAGCGAUAAACCUUUAAUUUCUAUCAAUGAAGUUGCAAGCAAAUUUUUACCAGAUUUUGGAAUUUUCGAUGUAGAUAAAAGAGCAAAAGUAAAAUGCAUAGAUUCUUGCAUUUUGUAAUAUUAUUGAGAUUUCGUAUCUAAUCAUUUUGAAUUUCUUUUCAGAUGUUGAAAGGUUUUAAAGCAAGUGAUCAUGGCACAACAGAUAAUAUGGAGCUUCAACAUGAGCAUAUUAAAAUUCAGAUUUUAUGGAAUACGACUAACAGACCGAACAUUUAAUGGAUGAUUUAGGAAGCCUGAAACAGUAGACUAAGCCUAAUGUAUCACGUUUGUACAGAAAAAUUACAGUAAUUUAAAAAUGACCUGCAUAGGGGAUUGAAAGUGAAAGAUAUUUAUAAUCCCUGCAUAUCCAGGAAAGUGGUCUGGAAGUGAUGAGUCUGAAUUGCGUUGAUUUCUCAUGAUUUGAGAGGGGGAAAGCCAUGGCAAUUACUACUUACGCUAUUUUCAAGAGAUGGAUAGAAAAAAAAAAUGAAUUUGUUUUUAGGGUAAUAAUGACAAGAACUUUGGAUAUAAUUUAAAUUACUUUACUUAUACAUGAAAGUAUUCUGGCGGAAUUCUUCGUAUUUACUCAUGAUGGAACGUCUUAAAAAUCGAAAAAGAAAGUCUCCUGCAAUUGAUAUUAGAGCAGCGCAUUCUGCAAAUAUUACAUUAGAGGCUAUUUAAUUGAACAACGGCUUAAUACCACUUCUCAUCUGUGCAGCGAAUAUCAUUUCGGCUCCAGCGCGAACUCUAAAUAUGGGAGAUGUCUGGAUUGGCGGGAAAAAACGGUACUGAAGUGAUAUCGGUAUUCAUAGGUCAGACAACUUAUGGCCAUUAUGGAAGCAUUUUUUCUUGGAUAAGUCUGCCGUCACCAUCAGCAAUACGGCUUUCUCGGUUCCAUAUACAAGCCAUCAAUGCUCGCCAAUUUCCUUAAGAUCAAAUUAUCUUGUGUGCAAGAACUUACAGUGAUAAUUUGAUACAUCAAAUUCACUAUGUCUUCAUCUUUUAACCCAGGUGAUCAUGGCGCAGGAUACCAUUUGGAGCCUUCAACCAUAAAAUUCGGAGCCUUUUCAAUGGAACUAUGAAUGGAGAUCAAAUUUAUGCAGUUGAGUUUCUAAAAUUCAUUUUGGCUUCCACCUGACUUUAUAUU